UACGGGGGGGGGCAAGCGUUGUUCGGAAUUACUGGGCGUAAAGGGCUCGUAGGCGGCCAACUAAGUCGGACGUGAAAUCCCCAGGCUCAACCUGGGAACUGCGUCUGAUACUGGAUGGCUUGAAUCCGGGAGAGGGAUGCAGAAUUCCAGGUGUAGCGGUGAAAUGCGUAGAUAUCUGGAGGAACACCGAUGGCGAAGGCAGCCUCCUGGGCCAAUACUGACGCUCAUGCACGAAAGCGUGGGGAGCAAACAGG
rnacentral:rRNA from 1 species